UUUUCCGUAGGUGAACCUGCGAAAGGAUCAUU
rnacentral:rRNA from 1 species